GACUUAGAGGACGCGGGGAGGGCGGGGCGGCGCCCGGCUUCCGGGUAGUGGCAGGUGAGGCCGCGUGGGGCCAGCGGCGGCUCCUUGCUGGUCUGUGGCUCUGGGCCCAAGACCCGAGCCUCCUACAGGGGCGGCCCCCUGCCUGAGGCGCGGGUGGGUUCCGACCUCCGAGAGCCGGUGUGGAAGCACUGAGGGGCCCCUACUUUUGCCCCCGAAGUCAGCGGGGCAACAGCCGCUCCCUUGCAGGAGCCGGGCCGUGGGCGGAGGGCCCCGGUGGGUGAGAUCGGUGACCCCCGAAAACUCCGACCAAAGAGCUGCAGCAAGAAAGGAGUUGGUUCCCACAAACCGCCCAGAGUCAAGUUGGACAAUAUUAAAGCCUCACAUCGAGGAGACAAAGCAGCAGCCGGCCCUUGGUGGAUCCACUGAACCUUCUUACUAAGGGAAAAUGCAGCCAUGCUGUGUAAAGAAGGGUUUUAUUUUAAGAACCUCACUCAUUUCACAAAAGAAUGAUCGAUACUUGUCCAAAGUAAACUUGAUAAAUAGUUAAGCUGUCUGAGCAUAGAGUUCCCACAGAGGUCCUUGUUCUUACAAUACACAAAGGGAUGCAAAAGUAAACAAGCAGAGUAAGUUAAUACUGUCUUCUAAUCUACAGGAACUGAGAGAUUAACUCUGGUUUGGUUAGUGAUCAAAUUUUGUGAUCGCUUGCACUGAACUGCUCUGUUUGACUACUUCUUAAAAUGUUGCAAGACCUCUUCACUCUUGUGUGCCAAAUAAAGCAGGUUUUUAUUCUUCAAAGACUAUAGAAUGUUCCCUUUGAGGAGCAAGCUGUAACAUGUAUAACUAGUUUAGGUAUAACAACAGUAACUAUUAUUUACCAGGGAACAGUCUUUUGGCAAAUAAUCUAAUGAUCUAAAAUACUGUUCGUUGGGCAUAUGUUAAUGUUUGUAUGUUGUAUUAGCAGCAGUUGUUUUCUUAGUCAUUCUUGUUUGAAAACUUGGAUGAUGGUUUCAAAGCUUGUGCUGCUUGGACCUAGCCUGUACCUGUAGUAGCCAGAAAAAGCAGACUCAGUCACUGGAUUUUGUGUAUUGAAAACUUGACUUGCUGCUGGUAAUCUUACGUGAUUUUUUUUUUUUAAAAACUUGCUCAAAUAGUAAUUCCAGAAGAGGAUCAUAAUUUAUUUUUAACGUCCUUCACUCCAGAGGCCAAUAUGUGAGGGAGUUCCCGUCGUGGCGCAGUGGUUAACGAAUCCAACUAGGAACCAUGAGGUCUCAGUUCGAUCCCUGCCCUUGCUUAGUGGGUUAUUGAUCUGGCGUUGCCGUGAGCUGUGGUGUAGGUCGCAGAUGCGACUCGGAUCCCGCGUUGCUGUGGCUCUGGUGUAGGCCGGCAGCUACAGCUCCGAUUUGACCGCUAGCCUGGGAAACUCCAUAUGCCACGGGAGCGGCCCAAGAAAUGGCAAAAAAACAAAAAAACAAAACAAACAAAAAAAAGAAAUGCAUAGGAGUCUUGGACCUGAAGAAAAGGCACAUGAGAAGGAAUCCUCUGUAGCUCUUCGGCUCUAGUAUAAACCAGGCUUUCAUACUCUAAUUACUUAUUUAGCUUCUAGUUCUAAGGCAGCCUGCAAGCCCAGGAAUAGCAUAUGGGUUGCCAGAGCUGAGCGCCCUACUGCUACCUGCGUUGCCUUAAUAAAAGAUGGCAUCAAGAUCGGCUCAGAUACUGAAGACUGCUUUUUAGAGUGAGGAGCCUUAGCUUAUGAGUUGAGAUUCACAGGCCUUGUCUCUGCUGAUCUGAUAAGUCAUUCUAAAACUCUAAGCCUGUUUCCUCUUUUAUAUGUGGAAAGGUACUAAGUUAUCUCUGAGGUUCUUUGAGCUUGGAAAUUCUGUUUGUUGGAUCUGUUUUGGCCAUUUUUUCUGACUUAGGCUUGAGCAGCAGCGAAUAAGAAAUUUAGUGUAAACAUCUUAGCCAGUUUUCUUAAGGGCUUAUUCUCUAUUUGAAAGAUACUUAAUUGGGUUUCUAUUCUCUCACAUGUCUUUCAGAGUACCUUGUUAUUCUAAACAAGGCAAGUCUGCUUGUAUUUGUUUUUAAGAAAUAAAAUCUUACUAUUUAUGUAACUUUAUCCACAUUAAACCUUACACUAUUAAGGAGGGUUUGUCUUUGGAUAAGACCAAGUCUUUGUGGCAUAUGAGCACCAUCUGCACCAAUUACUCUAUUGCAUUUAUAUUUUGAAAAUGGAGCCUUAUGAAUAUCUGAGUUUUCUCCUCUUAAGAAAGUAAGUCCUAGUCUUUCAUUUGUUGUUUAAAAGUCUUUUUCUCUUGAAUGGUACAUUUCACUCUGACUCAAAAUUGUGAAUCAAUAAAACCUGAAUAAGAUUCUAUUAUAAUAAUCUAGACCUGACUUAAGAUUUUGAGAACUUUCUUACCUGCUGAAAGUUUUGUGCUUAUUUCCCUGCAGUAACACUUCACAUAUUUGAUGUAUUUUGAUGGAAUUGCCAUUCACCUACAUACCUUCCUUAAUAAAAGGCGUGUGGGCUAAAGCCUAGGUGCCUUUUGUUCUGUGGAACAGAGUGUCUCCUGGUCCCCCACUUUCUAGAUGUAAAGAAAAAAAAAAAGUAAUAGCCAGGUUUUAGUGAUAUUUGGAAGAUUAUACUGCAGAAUAAUAAUUUUUUAAAAGCUAUUUUUUGAGUAGACUAGAUGCUUUGCAUCUGUUUUCACUAAUCCUGAGGGUAAACAACUGCAGGGUGAUAGCUCUUAUACCCAUUUUACAGGUAAGAAACCAGAGACUUAAGUAGAGCAGGAUUCUAAACUGAUCUGGCCCCCCAAAUCCCUGCUUUUUUGUUUUGUUUUGUUUUGUUUUUGGCUUUUUAGGGUUGCACCUGCAGCAUAUGGAAGUUCCCAGGAUAGGGUCGAAUUGGAGCCACAGCUGCCGGCCUAUGCCCACAGCUGCCGGCCUAUGCCCACGGCUGCAGCAGCGCGGGAUCUGAGCUGCAUCUGUGACCUAGACCACAGCUCACGGCAACACGAGAUCAGUGACCCACUGAGCAAAGCCAGGGAUCAAACCUGCAUCCUCAGAUACUAGUGGGAUUCCUUUCUACUGCACCACAACGGGAACUCCCCUGCUCUUUUUUAUUGUCCAAAGACUAGACAAAAGUUCUGGCUUCAUAAAGUGAAAAUGUUUUUUUGUUUUUUGUUUGUUGUUUUUUUUGUCCACGAUUUUAAAUUUAUUUAUUUAUUUAUUUUUAUUUUCCCACUGUACAGCAAGGGGAUCAAGUUAUCCUUACAUGUAUACAUUACAAUUACAUUUUUUUCCCCACCCUUUGUUCUGUUGCAACAUGAGUGUCUGGACAUAGUUCUCAAUGCUAUUCAGCAGGAUCUCCUUGUAAAUCUAUUCUAAGUUGUGUCUGAUUGAAAAUGUUUUUUUAUCCUACAGUUGUUAAUUAAUUAAUUACAACUAAAGUCUUCCUGUUCUUCAAAAUUGCCUUUUGCCCAGGUGGUGGCAGCAUGUCUCAGAGAGAUAGCGUGAUGUAGGUUUUCUACAACCUUGCCAGUGGAUUUACUUCUUCAUCCCAUAUACGAGACCUGUCUGUCAGUCUCUAUUUCUCUCUUGGGCAUUUUCACUACUAUUAGACCAGCCUAUCAGUGAUUCACUCCAUCUUCCAACCCCCUUUCAGCCUCAUCUGAGUGGGUCAUACUCUGCCAGUUUGCUUUCAGGGUAUUUUACCUACAAAGAAAGCAUCACCAAAUUAUUAUUUUCUGCAAAAUUCAUUUAGACCUAACCAGUAACACAAAGACUUUUUUUUUAAGUAUUAUUAUUUUUCACCCAUUGUUAAAUGUAAUUUGGCAAAAGCACAUCCAAACUAAAUAAUUAGCUAAUAUAAUGAAAUAUCUGAUUAAAUUAGAGUGCAGGCAUCUUAAACUUUAUGGAAUAUACCAACUAAAGAGCUAAUGAAAAGCUUUUUAAAGAUAGAAUUUGUCUUCAAAAUAAGAACAAAAAUAUUCAACAGAAAGCAGUGAAAAGUAAUAUAAUUCAAAAGCAUGCAAGUAUAUAUCAAAAUAAUUAGUUAAACUUACCUUAGCGAAAUAUUGUUUGGAACAUUAUUCUCAUAUCUUGGCAGGGUUACUAACUUCCUAGAGGUUUCAAAUCAGGUGAUAGCUCCUCACAAAAGCCCUCUCUAACCCUAUCACUUUUACUUUUUCCACAGCAAUUCCAUCUGACAUCUUAUUUACUGAUUUAUUGUUUAUUUUUUCCCACUAGAAUGUAAGCUGUAUGAGAUCAGUUACCACAAUACUUAGAAUAUUGUUUUGAAUAAUUGAAUCCAAGAUAUGGCAUUGUCACCUACAAAUAAAACUGUUAAGUGUUUGAACAAAUCAAGAAAUAAUCUUAAAUCUCAGGAAUUUGUGAAGCUCAUGUUAAAGUACCAAACUGUUGUAUUAUGUUCUGACAAUAAUAAGAGAUGCCCUAGUAAGAACAGGUCUAAAGAUUAGUAAGUAAGAUAUUUGGGGAAAGAUAAAAAUAACUGUGGUUAUCUUGUUAAAAGAAGAAUACUAGUUGCUUAAGGAUUUCAAGUAUGUAAAAGAAUGUUCAAGGGACAUAGUGAUUCAUCAUCUUCACUGAUAAAAGUAAUUAGUCCUAUACUGUUGGUGCUGAGAUUUAAGAUAAGAACAGGCUAGACUAGAGAUCUAAAUAGGGAUCUUUGAAAAUGUGUUAAGAGUGAAUAUGCAUACUGGAUGCUCUCUCUAGAUAGUUCCCAGCUUUAUGAUUCCCAGUGCAGAGUACAAAAGAAAGAUUAGAUAGCAGAUGCUUCUCUUCUGAUUAUUCCUUGCUGCCCAUGGCCUUUUCUGGACGUUUUAGAAACAUUUUGGUGUGUUUGAGUACAGUCAAUAUGAGUGAUAUGUAUUGCUGCUUUGGGUAGUUAAAAGCAAUCUUUUCAGAUAAUGCUGGAAAUUGGGUGUUUCUGCUUUUUUAAUACCGAAACUGUUUACAAUUCUCUAUCUCUAGAAUGUACUAUACAUGCAUAUGCAGCAAACUAAUUUCCUUUAAUUAGAGGGCAGCCUUUUGGAAGGGUAAAAUUCCCAGUAAAUUCUUUUGAAGCCUUGGUUUACGUUACUGUUGUGAGAGACACUAAGCUUUCCUGCUAAAUCUAGAAAUUCAAAUAUUAGACUUACCCAUAAAUGAUGUAAUUAUAUUAACUAUGUCAAGUCACCUCUAAUUUCUAUGCUGUGGUCUCCAAGCCAUUAAAUAGGAGUUACUGUCCAAUUGAGGAAACUGGUCCAUGUAUAGGAAUCCUUCAUUGUGAAAAAAAAACAGUGUGUAUUGCAAAAGCUGUCUCUAGCAGCAUCACCUUUGCUGAGCAGCAUUUUAAUUUGAUACAUUUCAACUUCAGCUAAGCAAGCUACUCAAAGUAACCAUAUUAGACAACCUUACUUGCUAUAUGAUAUUGCCAGGUUACUUGUCCUUGUGUCAUACAGUGCUCUGUAUAAAAAGUCCCAUGUAAGUUAUUUUGGAAUGUGAUUCUUGGAGUUCCUGCUGUGGUGCAGCAGGUUAAUAAGGCAUUGUGUCUCUGGUGGCUCAGGUUGCUGCUCAAGUAUGGUUUUGACCCCUGGCCUGGCGCAGAGGUCAGGAUCUUGAGGUGCAGC
rnacentral:lncRNA from 1 species